rnacentral:rRNA from 1 species
UACGUAGGGUGCAAGCGUUGUCCGGAAUUAUUGGGCGUAAGAGCGUGUAGGCGGCCAGGGAGGUCCGUUGUGAAAACUCGAGGCUCAACCUCGAGACGCCGAUGGAAACCCCCUGGCUAGAGUCCGGAAGAGGAGAGUGGAAUUCCUGGUGUAGCGGUGAAAUGCGCAGAUAUCAGGAAGAACACCCGUGGCUAAGGCGGCUCUCUAGUACGGUACUGACGCUGAGACGCGAAAGCGUGGGGAGCGAACAGG